AGAUCAUCAAGGACAACAACCACCCGAGCCACUGCCUGUUCACCCCGCUAUCAUCCAGAAGAGGCCUUCCAGGCGUUGGAUAGAGAAGGCACUGGAACUGCUGAAAUUAAUGUCAUAGAGUGUAUGGUGACCUAGUAUGCUGUAGAAGAGGACACAUACACACCCAUAGUAGAGGACAACCAUAGCCUCAAAGAGCCUCCAAAGCAUCUCAGUGCACCCAACUAAGGCUUGCAUCAUCUCAAACAAUCUCAAAGAAUCUACUAUUCCCUACUUUUUAAUAACCACCACAAAUACUUUGCUGCCUCUGCUCAAUAACUUGGCAAUUGCAUUUAACCUGGUCAAUUACACGCAAUGAAAAUAAAAUGCUCUACUAAGGGAGUCGCUGCAUAUAAAUCACUGCACGCAUUAUACAAUGGCAAAGUUUUCAGGACAUACCGUUGUGCAAAAAAAUGCCUGUAUUUUAAAGUUCCAUUUCAAACCUCUUAGGAUUUCCUCUCUUUGUUUAACCAUCAAAUUCAGAUGCUAGUCUGUAAUAAGAGAUGAUGACAUCAUACUCUGACAUUAUGUAUUUUUGACUACCUGUCACGGGAUCUUGGAUUAUAGAAAGUAUGUAUUGCUAUAGGCUGCUAAUGAACUGUAAAUUGUACUGAUGCCUUAGUCUUUAGGAUACCUCAGUACAGUAAACUACAUCAGUUAAAGACAGAAAUAUAACUAAUAUUUUUCUCAAGAUGGCAAUUUUAGUCAAAAAAUUGGCGAGGGUACUUUCAACUAAAACACAAAAAGGAAAGGUACUCCUCAAAAUGUGACAAGGUAAAAAGUAACUGAGGUGUAUGCUGAACUGCACAUUUUAAUUAUGCAAAGAAUGUCACAGAAUAAAACAGACUUAUAUAACUUUUGAGUUAUUCAUUUUCUAAAGAUGAUUGAGAACAUGGUGUGGGAUUCUGUAUUUUACAUUAUAGCCAUUACCAUAUAUAUAUGAUUAAAUAUUAUCUGAUGUUGGCUGUGUAAAGUAUCUGCAUUUGUGCACUUGAGCAUCAUCAUGAGAUUAAACAGCUGCUUGCUACA